UCAGCCUAGAAAUGGUCAGACUAAAGUAGUCUUCUUCCCUAGUAGAUAAAUCGACUUUCCAGUCAGACACAGAUAGAAAAAAAAACUAGUCAGACGGAAGUAGAAAAUCCACUUUUAUUCAGACUAAUCACUAGCCUCGAUUUUGCACAGACAGGUUGAUAAAUUAUGUUUAAGUCAUACGCGCGAUUAAAAUCGUAUAUUAACAUCGUAAAGAAGGCAUUCAUGUCCACCAGGGUGCAUGCAGAUAAAUCGGGGAAUUCGAGCAGAUCCGAAACUCGACCGAUCCCAUUGCGGAAUGGAAGCGGAUAGAAGGGUGUCCGAGUGGGCUAGUGCGCGCCUCCCUCUGCGCAUCCCUCUACGCAGGGUAUCAGGGGCGGCGAGUCGGCCGCCUCGGCAGUACUCGGGAUGCUUCGGGCGGGCUCGGAGCGCGGGAGGGCGCGCACCACUGGCAGUCGUCGAGCUCGAGCAGUUCGGGGCCGUUCGACGCGGCUCGGUUCGGUCAGUACGCCCCCGCGCCGUCGACCGGGCCGCACGUCGAUGCUCGUCGCCGCGCCGUAGCGGGACCCGCGCAGCCACCGUCCCCGCGUCCCGCUGCAGGGUCGUCGGCGGGGUCGUUCGUUUCCCGGUGGCCGCGGUCCCCGUCGAAAGGGCCACUUCGGAACCGAGGUCUACCUUAAAUCCGGAAAUCAAAGAAGAGGAACUCACCAAUUACGAGAAACUGCCAACGUUACCACGAAAUCAAGAUCCUGCCAAAGAUACCUUACCCCCGAGUGAUCGCCAAUCGCAUUAGUCGUUAACGACCUUAGGUUAAGAGAUUUCGAGGAGGCGUUCAUUAUAUAGGAUAAAGAGGGGAGCAAGAUGAAGAAAGUAGCGCCAAACUCGAGUUAGACCGGAGAGACCGGUGGGAUGGUGUCGGGGUGGUGCCCCUGCGUUCCCCUAGGGCGCCGGGAGUCCCCGGCGGCGACGGGGAAUUCAAACUGCAGCUACGGCGCCCCCUUCUCCGUCAGCGCCGCGACCGACCGCGCGGAGAUGGUUCAAAUGUUCUACUACGAGAACCGCGGCAAGUGCUGCAAGAAAUUGCUUAGAUACAACGGAUAUACGAACAAGGUUCUCCUUUUCCCCGAAGAAGGCUGGGCAAGAAGUGCAAGUAGUUCCUAUUGGACCCUGACGCCAUUUUGGUGGAGCAGGAAUCGGUGUAAAGUUGUCGAGGUCGCCGGAACCAGAAGGUACAGCACCCAGGCCAAAAUGGUGGACACGGGUACUGGCACACUCUACAUUAUAGGUUCCUUCAAAAGAAUGACAACGGAUCCAGAUUUCAAGUUAUACCUGACGUCCAACGUCUCGUCGAGCGACUUCAACAUGGGCUACAGCAUGACGGGCACCUUGGAGCGUGGCUGCAAGAAGACGAACAGCUUCCAGAUGACGCAUUUCGCGGUAAUAAGGCGACGUGAUUACGAGAAGGCCUAUGAGAACUCCAAUCCCACCUAGUGCCCGUCCAUGCCCACGCUCUGUGGGGACUGCGAAAGCUGCACUUAAGGCGUAGCUUGAGUAUUUUUACCGUGACAGGGUUCUCGAGCCUCGCCUUUGCGGAGAGGUGCAGGUCUCGUGAGAAAAUUCGGUACCAGGGAUGUUCUAAGCCGCUCCAUCGAAGCCUCCUUGAGAUGUGUCGAUCACUGAACCGAGCAGUGUACCUGGAAUUCGUCGAAAAGCUGGAUUAUCCCGGUUUUUAGAUGUCUUUCAAAUUUUUUAUUUUUUUUCAUAGGCUCGCGGGUCGUCUAGCGAGCGAACUACUUAUGAUUUAAUUGCGGUACAAGCACUCGUGCGCGAACAUAACCUCUGAUAAUCUCGAAGGGAGUUUACGAAGAGGUUAUGGUGGUCCAGCGAGGCAGAUUUCCAGGGGAAACCCUGAAGAGACCUUCGUAGUGGUCGACGGCGACGAGGGUGCAUCUGGAGCGGCGUAAUUUUAAGAUUGUACCGCGCCAAAAGAGAGAUUAUAACGUCCGUAAUAGUCUUUAUUAAUUUUAAGGGAAAUCAAUUGGCACGUUGACGGACCCUCGAGGAGGUUAUCCGGAAAUGCGCGCAGUGUAAUACCUAAAAGUGAAGAUAAGUUACAUGGGUGUUAAUGCCAACGAGUCCUUUGCCAAAGUACUAGAAUGGGAAACAUAAUUACUUGGAGGUGGAGAAGUGGCUACUAUCACCACGUCUGCUUUUUCAAAAGCUGAGUUGCACCAAAGACCGGGAUCCUAAAAUGGAGAAAAUGGAACAUGUCAUGAAAUUUAUUCAACAUUUCUAACGCAUGACGACGGGAUGGUCGACCUAAGAUAAUCAGUGGGGGAACGAAACGAAAUGAAAUUUCAUGAGAAAUGAUUAAAGAACAAUGAUAAGAGACUGUAAUGAAAAUAAUU
rnacentral:misc_RNA from 1 species